CGGGCUAUAAUGCAGUCGACGAACUCUGGUAUUGAUUGGUGCUUGCAUCAUGAUUUACAUUUGAGUGAGUGGCGAACUGGUGAGUAACACGUGGGAAACCUGCCCAGAAGCGGGGGAUAACACCUGGAAACAGAUGCUAAUACCGCAUAACAACUUGGACCGCAUGGUCCGAGUUUGAAAGAUGGCUUCGGCUAUCACUUUUGGAUGGUCCCGCGGCGUAUUAGCUAGAUGGUGGGGUAACGGCUCACCAUGGCAAUGAUACGUAGCCGACCUGAGAGGGUAAUCGGCCACAUUGGGACUGAGACACGGCCCAAACUCCUACGGGAGGCAGCAGUAGGGAAUCUUCCACAAUGGACGAAAGUCUGAUGGAGCAACGCCGCGUGAGUGAAGAAGGGUUUCGGCUCGUAAAACUCUGUUGUUAAAGAAGAACAUAUCUGAGAGUAACUGUUCAGGUAUUGACGGUAUUUAACCAGAAAGCCACGGCUAACUACGUGCCAGCAGCCGCGGUAAUACGUAGGUGGCAAGCGUUGUCCGGAUUUAUUGGGCGUAAAGCGAGCGCAGGCGGUUUUUUAAGUCUGAUGUGAAAGCCUUCGGCUCAACCGAAGAAGUGCAUCGGAAACUGGGAAACUUGAGUGCAGAAGAGGACAGUGGAACUCCAUGUGUAGCGGUGAAAUGCGUAGAUAUAUGGAAGAACACCAGUGGCGAAGGCGGCUGUCUGGUCUGUAACUGACGCUGAGGCUCGAAAGUAUGGGUAGCAAACAGGAUUAGAUACCCUGGUAGUCCAUACCGUAAACGAUGAAUGCUAAGUGUUGGAGGGUUUCCGCCCUUCAGUGCUGCAGCUAACGCAUUAAGCAUUCCGCCUGGGGAGUACGGCCGCAAGGCUGAAACUCAAAGGAAUUGACGGGGGCCCGCACAAGCGGUGGAGCAUGUGGUUUAAUUCGAAGCUACGCGAAGAACCUUACCAGGUCUUGACAUACUAUGCAAAUCUAAGAGAUUAGACGUUCCCUUCGGGGACAUGGAUACAGGUGGUGCAUGGUUGUCGUCAGCUCGUGUCGUGAGAUGUUGGGUUAAGUCCCGCAACGAGCGCAACCCUUAUUAUCAGUUGCCAGCAUUAAGUUGGGCACUCUGGUGAGACUGCCGGUGACAAACCGGAGGAAGGUGGGGAUGACGUCAAAUCAUCAUGCCCCUUAUGACCUGGGCUACACACGUGCUACAAUGGAUGGUACAACGAGUUGCGAACUCGCGAGAGUAAGCUAAUCUCUUAAAGCCAUUCUCAGUUCGGAUUGUAGGCUGCAACUCGCCUACAUGAAGUCGGAAUCGCUAGUAAUCGCGGAUCAGCAUGCCGCGGUGAAUACGUUCCCGGGCCUUGUACACACCGCCCGUCACACCAUGAGAGUUUGUAACACCCAAAGUCGGUGGGGUAACCUUUUAGGAACCAGCCGCCUAC
rnacentral:rRNA from 1 species